CAUGGGCUCUGAGCCUCAGACAUGUUUCCCCACCCAUUCAUUCAUUAUUGACUCUCUCUCUCUCUCUCUCACAAACACACACAUCAUACACAGUUACACACAUCUUCACCUAUUUAUUUGAUCUUCUCUUAGGAUCUUCACUAUUGAUUUUGGUCUUGAAUUCUAGUAUUCUACCAAACAAUUAAUAAAGGAAUCUUUUUCUAUUUGAAAAAUGAAACCUUGUAGUAUCAUGUUCUUCUGUCUAAUUACAAUUGCCUUCUACCUCUCAUCUUUAAACAUCACACAUGCAUCUUCCUCUUCCUCUUCCCCUCCUAACACUUCCACAUUACUCACAGGAAAGCGAACUAUGAGGAAACUGGGCUCCGAAAAGCCUGAAGUUCGAAAAGAAGACAAUGAUAUUAAGGUGUGUGAGAAGUAGAAAUGAAUUCUUAGUUCUACUGACAUUUUUCUUUUGUUACCACUUAUAUUAAUCCAUGAUUACAAAUGGAUUGUGUUGUCGAUUUCAGGUUGUCAAAACACAGUGGCAGCAGGCAAAUAAAGGAUCUGCGGUUGGAGAAGAUGUAGACGAAGAUGGAGAUGGGCUGGUUUACCAUAUUGACUAUCACGGCGUGUCAACACAUCCUUAUCCCUCUCCCAAACAUCCUAGACCAUAGGAAGCAAUUAAGCAAACAGUCAUAUUCAUGAUGGAAGCGAAGAUCCCUGCUAAAUUUAAUGUAUGGAUACUUCUAUAUAAAUAGUGUUUCGCCUGUAUCUAUAAUUCUAUAUACGAAUUAUUUCACCAUCAGUCUCCAUAACUGCAACAAGAAGCACCAAAUUUGCAGGUAGAUGUCACUUAGUAAACUAACUGUUUAUAGUAACACUACAUUACUUGGUUGUU
rnacentral:lncRNA from 1 species